GCUUCUGUAGAUCAGUGUUAGAUCACCUCCGCUGCGUGAAGGGUUCCAUAUGCAUCGGAGGAGACGUAGGUUCAAGUCCUACUGGAGGUG